rnacentral:rRNA from 1 species
CGGAGGUGGCGAGCGUUACUCGGAAUUAUUGGGUGUAAAGGGCAAGUAGGCGGUUUAUUAAGUGAGGGGUGAAAUCUACCGACUCAAUCGGUAAAUAGCCUUUCAAACUGAUAAACUUGAGGCUGGGAGAGAGAAAUGGAAUUCGCGGUGUAAGGGUGAAAUCUGUAGAUAUCGCGAAGAACACCAAAGGCGAAGGCAAUUUCCUGGUCCAGAUCUGACGCUAAAUUGCGAAAGCUAGGGGAGCAAACAGAAUUAGAUACUCUGGUAGUCCUAGCUGUAAACGAUGAGUACUAGGUGUUGGCCCGCAAGGGUUAGCGCCGCAGCUAACGCAUUAAGUACUCCACCUGGGGACUACGGCCGCAAGGCUA